UAUGCAAUUCAAACUACCAUUCAAGAUAGUCUUGUGUGUAUAAUGAACUUGAGAAGGAGUAAAUGGCAAUCACUAGGUAAGACAUGUCUUUUAGGAAAACAGAGCUGGGCUUGAAAUGGUCGAAUGACAACGCAUAUGGAUAAGGGUUAGUGUAGGAUACCAGAAUGUAGAGUGAGAGCUUGAACAAGUAUGAGGAUGCAUAUUCCAAAAUAAGUGUGUUGAACACCAUAUAAUGCCCAAAUAUUGAGGAGGGAAUUGCAUGCACUUUUUUUAAAUUUUUUUUUAAACUUGUCGUGUCUUAAGAAGUGCGUCACAAAGAGUAGGUUAACUGCUCCAAUGGUCUUUGAAUACAGGCUACCAUGGUGCCAGACUUUACUGGCUUUCUCUUCAGUCAAUCACUUCACCACCCCCCUGAAAACAAUAUCACCAAACCAUCUUUGUUGAGUUCCAUAGAUAUAUGAGUAUCAGAAGUUACAGCUACCAAUGUCACUUACUAGCGGUAAGGUAGUGGUCAAAGGUUCUUAUUCGGUAAGUCAAAUGCUUAUAGGCCAGCUGUGACAGGAUUGCAUGAUCUGUAUAGUCGUCUUCUAGGUUCUGCAGGCUUUGGACGCCAGAACUUUCCAAAAAUUCACUUAAGUUAGUUGGUUUUGUGUUAGUCUCCGAUGCCCCAUAAAGAGAAGAAGAUGACGAAAAACACAGGGGAUGAAUCUUUUGUUUUUCAAUAACUGGUAUAUAUUUACAGGUAUGGAGAUAGUUUUUCACAGUUUAUCAAGAAAACUCUGAACAAGUAGAUAUGCAUACAAUCUAUACAUGUAUAAAAUGCUGUUUAUGCAGACCAUUACGCUGACCUCUUUUUGGUUUCUAGGAGAUGGAAUUCGAUGACACAGGAUGAUCUUUUCUCAAAAAUUACAGUCUUGGAUCAAAUUAACCAGCAAGAGAUAAUGUAAAAUCAUUGUGAAUACUAUUCAGCUAAAUGUCUUUCCCUAUAAAGUAAAUAGGAAAUUACUUUUCAAUGCAACCCUGUAUAAAAUGCAUGAGCUUCCUAUUGCUCUGGUUUCUAUUUAAAUUUUUGUGCUUCCACUUGGAUGGAUUUUCCAGAUACAAUUCUAACUUAUGCACUGAAAACCACAAGUUUAAGGCUCUUUACCCUGUCUUGUAUCAUAUAGAGUCUAUUUGGAAAGCCAUGUGUAAUUACCUAAUGAUGUAAUAGUAAUUAUACACCCUGGUAAUUACACUGCAUAGUAAUUAUAAUGACCUGUUUGUUUGCCAUGAUGUAAUUAAAGAUAUGGUGAAUAUUUCCCUAUUUGUACAGCCCAAAUUUGUCUUAUCAUGUAACUGAGGUUAUUCAU
rnacentral:lncRNA from 1 species